CACGAGGUGCCUCCAGGAUCGUGCGACGGAACGGGCACCGUACGUAGCCCAGGGCCACCAGAACUAGAGGAUCGACCAUAAACGUCAUCGUGUAGCCUUUGGCCAUCAACAACAGAGAAAAAUCGCGCCGUGGUUGAAGCGUUCGGACCACCAUAGUCGCGAUUGAAUUGAUAGAAACAUCACUGUGCCAAGUGACCGUAUCUGCCGCAAAUUUGACAUUGUGUUCGAGGAUGAAACCCGCGACCACUCCACAAAUCUAGGCGAAGCAGGUAACGUGCCCUCUAGAAACCCUUGCAACUCAUAUCCUUCUAUAAUGAGUCGAACAUGAUGUUGCCAUUGAACAAAGUUUCCCUCAUCUAGUUUCACUGUAUCAUGACAAGGAAACGAUUGAACCAGUCUCGCACUGGAAAAAGAUGAACUGGUAGGAUCAACAGUAGUAGAAUCUAUGGAAUAAGCCAUGAAUUGAUUACGGAAGAUUGCACCAGGAACUAGACGACUGAUACCGUGUUAGGUACUACACUAUUACAAGAAUAGAUUUUAGAGAGAAAGAAUUUUUUCUGAGAAAUUAGUAUUAUUAUCUACUUUAAUCAAUACACUAUCAAUGUUUAUAUACUUCAAUAUGAGUAACUGCUCCUAACCAACUAUACCAGACUAAUCAACUGAAUGAUAACAAACUAACAAAUCUUAUGUUAACAAUAUCUAUUCUUCUAACAUUGUCUAUUUAUGCUUUUGAAAUGCUGACUUGUACUACUAUUUCCAACCCUCUUUUCCUUUAUUUUUUUUCAAGCCUUAUACUAUCCCUAAUCAGCCCUUAAAUUUCCCUCCUUGUGCCGCCCAAAGCAGCCCUCGUGUGUGCCAUCCAUGGUAAUGUGUCGCCAUUUUAAACACCACUUUGGAGUUGCUGUUUUUCUCUCUUUAGCCGUAUCUUUCAAGAAAAUAAAAAUUAUUGUUCUACUCGUCUAAUCAAUAUUUAAUUGUGUCUUUUUCAGGUGUAUUCGAUUCCCUUCGUUCAAUGAUUUCGAAAUAGUUAACGGGUAGU
rnacentral:lncRNA from 1 species